GCCAGCAGCCAUAUCGCUCUGCAACUCACAACUGGCAACCUACUGAAGCCAAGCAGGUGUGAGCCUGGCAAGUACCUGGAUGGGUGACCUCCUGGGGAAAAACUAAGGUUGCUGCUGGAA
rnacentral:rRNA from 1 species